UACAGAGGGUGCGAGCGUUGUCCGGAAUCACUGGGCGUAAAGGGCGCGUAGGUGGCGGCCCAAGUCCAUGGUGAAAGCUCGAUGCUCAACAUCGAGUCGGCCACGGAUACUGGGUUGCUCGAGCACUGUAGGGGCAGAUGGAAUUCCGGGUGUAGCGGUGGAAUGCGCAGAUAUCAAGAGGAACACCUGCGGCGAAGGCGGGUUGCUGGGCCGACACUGACGCUGAUGCGCGAAAGCUAGGGGAGCGAACGGG
rnacentral:rRNA from 1 species